rnacentral:rRNA from 1 species
UCGAUGGGGGGACGCAGUAGGAUAGGCGAAGCGUGCGAUUGGAUUGCACGUCUAAGCAGUAAGGCUGAGUAUUAGGCAAAUCCGGUACUCGUUAAGGCUGAGCUGUGAUGGGGAGAAGACAUUGUGUCUUCGAGUCGUUGAUUUCACACUGCCGAGAAAAGCCUCUAGAUAGAAAAUAGGUGCCCGUACCGCAAACCGACACAGGUAGUCAAGAUGAGAAUUCUAAGGUGAGCGAGCGAACUCUCGUUAAGGAACUCGGCAAAAUGACCCCGUAACUUCGGGAGAAGGGGUGCUCUUUAGGGUUAACGCCCAGAAGAGCCGCAGUGAAUAGGCCCAAGCGACUGUUUAUCAAAAACACAGGUCUCUGCUAAACCGUAAGGUGAUGUAUAGGGGCUGACGCCUGCCCGGUGCUGGAAGGUUAAGAGGAGUGGUUAGCUUCUGCGAAGCUACGAAUCGAAGCCCCAGUAAACGGCGGCCGUAACUAUAACGGUCCUAAGGUAGCGAAAUUCCUUGUCGGGUAAGUUCCGACCCGCACGAAAGGCGUAACGAUUUGGGCACUGUCUCAACGAGAGACUCGGUGAAAUCAUAGUACCUGUGAAGAUGCAGGUUACCCGCGACAGGACGGAAAGACCCCGUGGAGCUUUACUGUAGCCUGAUAUUGAAAUUCGGCACAGCUUGUACAGGAUAGGUAGGAGCCUUUGAAACGUGAGCGCUAGCUUACGUGGAGGCGCUGGUGGGAUACUACCCUAGCUGUGUUGGCUUUCUAACCCGCACCACUUAUCGUGGUGGGAGACAGUGUCAGGCGGGCAGUUUGACUGGGGCGGUCGCCUCCUAAAAGGUAACGGAGGCGCUCAAAGGUUCCCUCAGAAUGGUUGGAAAUCAUUCAUAGAGUGUAAAGGCAUAAGGGAGCUUGACUGCGAGACCUACAAGUCGAGCAGGGUCGAAAGACGGACUUAGUGAUCCGGUGGUUCCGCAUGGAAGGGCCAUCGCUCAACGGAUAAAAGCUACCCCGGGGAUAACAGGCUUAUCUCCCCCAAGAGUUCACAUCGACGGGGAGGUUUGGCACCUCGAUGUCGGCUCAUCGCAUCCUGGGGCUGUAGUCGGUCCCAAGGGUUGGGCUGUUCGCCCAUUAAAGCGGUACGCGAGCUGGGUUCAGAACGUCGUGAGACAGUUCGGUCCCUAUCCGUCGUGGGCGUAGGAAAUUUGAGAGGAGCUGUCCUUAGUACGAGAGGACCGGGAUGGACAUACCUCUGGUGUACCAGUUGUCGUGCCAACGGCAUAGCUGGGUAGCUAUGUGUGGACGGGAUAAGUGCUGAAAGCAUCUAAGCAUGAAGCCCCCCUCAAGAUGAGAUUUCCCAACUUCGGUUAUAAGAUCCCUCAAAGAUGAUGAGG